AUUGAACGCUGGCGGCAUGCCUUACACAUGCAAGUCGAACGGUAACAGGUCUUCGGAUGCUGACGAGUGGCGAACGGGUGAGUAAUACAUCGGAACGUGCCCGAUCGUGGGGGAUAACGAAGCGAAAGCUUUGCUAAUACCGCAUAAGAUCUACGGAUGAAAGCAGGGGACCGCAAGGCCUUGCGCGAACGGAGCGGCCGAUGGCAGAUUAGGUAGUUGGGGGGAUAAAAGCUUACCAAGCCGACGAUCUGUAGCUGGGCUGAGAGGACGACCAGCCACACUGGGACUGAGACACGGCCCAGACUCCUACGGGAGGCAGCAGUGGGGAAUUUUGGACAAUGGGCGAAAGCCUGAUCCAGCCAUGCCGCGUGCAGGAUGAAGGCCUUCGGGUUGUAAACUGCUUUUGUACGGAACGAAAAGACUCUUUCUAAUAAAGAGGGUCCAUGACGGUACCGUAAGAAUAAGCACCGGCUAACUACGUGCCAGCCGCCGCCGUAACAC
rnacentral:rRNA from 1 species